ACAGCGGCGGAUAUGGAGGGGGAGAGGGACAGAAAUGCACGGUUUCUAAGAGGGGUCGUUCGUUUUAUCGGACAUCUGCGUUUAGUCAUUUUUAUUGGAUGCAAAGAGACAGAUGAAGAAGAAGAGGCGUGGCUGGACAGGAAGUAUGUCGAGAUGCUUCCAGGGAGAAAUUAAACCUGAAAA